AUCACUUACAGAUGGGCCCGCGGCGCAUUAGCUAGUUGGUGAGGUAACGGCUCACCAAGGCGACGAUGCGUAGCCGACCUGAGAGGGUGAUCGGCCACACUGGGACUGAGACACGGCCCAGACUCCUACGGGAGGCAGCAGUAGGGAAUCUUCCGCAAUGGACGAAAGUCUGACGGAGCAACGCCGCGUGAACGAUGAAGGUCUUCGGAUCGUAAAGUUCUGUUGUUAGGGAAGAACAAGUACCGUGCGAAUAGAGCGGUACCUUGACGGUACCUAACGAGGAAGCCCCGGCUAACUACGUGCCAGCAGCCGCGGUAAUACGUAGGGGGCAAGCGUUGUCCGGAAUUAUUGGGCGUAAAGCGCGCGCAGGCGGUUCCUUAAGUCUGAUGUGAAAGCCCACGGCUCAACCGUGGAGGGUCAUUGGAAACUGGGGAACUUGAGGACAGAAGAGGAGAGUGGAAUUCCACGUGUAGCGGUGAAAUGCGUAGAUAUGUGGAGGAACACCAGUGGCGAA
rnacentral:rRNA from 1 species